rnacentral:misc_RNA from 1 species
CAAAUCAUGGAGGGGGAGUGUUGUUCAAGUUCUAGCUCCGCUUCCACCACCACAAACCCUGAGAAGCGCAAGCACAGGCAACAGCAAGACAAGCCUUAUAGAGGCAUAAGGAUGAGGAAGUGGGGUAAGUGGGUUGCUGAGAUUAGAGAACCCAAUAAGCGUUCUAGGAUUUGGCUUGGCUCCUACUCAACGCCCAUCGCCGCCGCGCGUGCCUACGACACCGCUGUUUUCUCGUUUUCUACCUUCGUGGCCCUUCUGCCAGGCUUAAUUUCCCCGAUUUGAUGUACCAUGAAGAUAACCUACGUGACAUGUCUGCUGCUUCUAUACGCAAGAAGGCUACUGAAGUUGGGGCUCAGGUGGAUGCUCUACAGCAAACGGCUCUCCACCCAGCAGAAAAGAACUCCAACCGACUAGUUCCGGAGAAACCUGACUUGAACCAGUAUCCGAC